UUUUAACUUCCAAGCAAAGGCCUGAAGUGUAGUGAUACUUGGUUCCAAUAUUUCUUUUUCCUCUUCUGGCUUCAACAGGUUUUGAGCAACCCAAUACCCAUAUUUAACUGUAUACUGGCCAUUCUUCGUGUAGUUCCAGCAGAAGGUAUCACGGCGAUGAGUAGAGCUUAUGGCCAUACUACGUAUAAGAGAUAUGUCAGCGGAGUGGACAUAAGCC
rnacentral:lncRNA from 1 species